rnacentral:misc_RNA from 1 species
GAAAUGCGAUACUUGGUGUGAAUUGCAGAAUUCAGUGAAUCAUCGAAUCUUUGAACGCACAUUGCGCCCGCCAGCAUUCUGGCGGGCAUGCCUGUUCGAGCGUCAUUUCAACCCUCGAGCCCGACUCUUUUGAGGACGGCUCGGCGUUGGGGGACGGCAGACUCCCCCCGGCAUCUCGCCGGGGACGCCGCCCCCGAAAUCUAGUGGCGGCCCUCCGAGGCGACCUCUGCGUAGUAACUUGUUCUCGCACCGGAAAGCUCAGAGCGGCCACGCCGUAAAACCCCCCAACUUUUUAUAGUUGACCUCGAAUCAGGUAGGACUACCCGCUGAACUUAA